AGGUGUUGCAGGGGACAUAUUCUGUGAUUUGGUUUCAGCCUUCCAGUAAACUUACACUUCUGGAUGGUGAACUUCACAAGUGUUUCUUAGUUUUUUUACUUCUUCCUCGUUAGUUAAGUGAAGAUGGAAAAUGUGAGUUGGAGUUUUAGUGUUUGCUUCUCCUAAGUAGAAGGCUACAGCUGACUGGAGUUGAGUGUUUUCCUUCCCCCCAAUCAUUUAGGCUCUGUUAAUAUUCCAGAAGGUUAGUAUCUCUUUAAUGAGUUUCUCCUGAAGGCAUUCUUGUUAAGAACAGAGUGUUCUGGUGUAUUUCAGGGUUGUAUUAUGUCCCUGCCUCUUGCCAGGUGCAUUAGGAGGAUUUUUCUCUGAUCUUCAUUGUGAGGAGCUGGUUGAGCUCCUGGAAGUAGCUCACAAAAUUGUGGGGACCCUCAGUGACUGAGUUCUCCUGAACUAUUUAACUCUCAGAGUUGUACAUGCUUGGCCUCCAGCAAUUCGUCAACUACAAUUAAGAUUUUCUGACCUGGCACUGGCUCCUGUGGCAGUUUCCGCUCAUGAUUCUCUGCUCCUGAGAUCGAUGAUGCCUGAGGAAAGAGAACCUACAAAUAACCAAAUAACUGCUCUGUAGGAGCUUCAAUUCCACCACAAAUUUUCAUAGCUAACUUGACUGCUAGAUGACUCCCAUGCCAUACCUGCUGGAGGUAGCCUGAUCAAAAAAAUUUGUAGUUGCAGGAUGAUUCUUCUUUUCAUCUCCGUAACACCUAUACCUUUCCUCUGUCUAUCCACUAAAAGGAGCGUUGCUUACACAUGUAUUCCAUGCAGAUCCAAAAUGCCUUACCAAAUGGUAAAGCAUAUACAGAUGAAUUAGAUGCAGGAUUUAAUACGCAAAAAGAGUGGAUCUUGGUGUUCUGAGGGGCCAUCCUUGCUCCCUGCCUACUAGUGUGCACUGCACAUCUUGGCCCCCAGUCUGAGACCCAUAUAGAAAAGGACGACAUCGAGCAAAGGGCAUAGGUGGAAACUCCCUCUCCCUACAACACAUCAUCAGAUGCUCUGUGCUCCAAAGUUUAAAAAGAGCAAGAAGACUUGCUUCAGAUGGCUGGUGCCACUGUUACCGUCCCCAUCUCAGAUUCCGAGAGGAGUACAGGAAGGAGGACAGCAGGUGGCUUUCCAUGUGUGAAAAGAAGUCUUUUAUUGUGAAGCUCUCUCCUGUUAUCCCCUGACUCUUCAAGAUCUGGUAUCCAGGUCCAACACAAAUGAUGCUUCUUUGGGAGUUCCCAUUGUGGUGCAGGGGAAAGGAAUCCUACUAGUCUUCAUGAGAAUAAUGCCAUGUGACUCCAAAAAGAAGCCUCAAACCCAUGUGCCUUCACCUUGGAUUUCUCUUUGCCUUAAGCUUCAGAUUUUAUUAAUUAUCUACUGUUUCCCAGAGAACAGACUGCAUACUGGUGAUAUAGUGAGUUUUCUGGGCUGGGGUGAACGAGGCGGGCCUUUAUAUCUCCGCGUGGACGUAGGCUGCCCGGAGAAGAGCAAGCUUGAGAGGUCUCUUCUUCAGCUGGGAGCAAUCCCUGAAACUCACUGCCAGCUGAUAACCUUCCACGAGCAUCAGUUUUGGACGCCAGAUCCUUCAGUCCUAAAGAGCAAGCUGGAUGGUGCGUUUUGAUAUCCAGAAUAGAAGACUCUACAGAGGUUUGAAGUGUAUGAAGACAUUGUGAGAAGGUAGCCACUGGCAAGCCAGGAAAAGAGUUCUCAUCAGAACCCAACCAUGCUGACACCAAGAUCUCUGACUUCCAGCCUUCAGAACUAUCCCUUGGGAAGAAGGCUACUCUGCUUGUGAUCCCACUCCAUGAGUCAUUUUCCCUUGAAUGAAGGACAUCAAACUCAUAACUAAGUUUUUCACAAGACUUGACCCAAAGAAAGCUGCUAAAGUGUUUGAAGCUUCCGGGAACAGCCUCUAGACCCAGGGGAAGGUACCCCAGACUCCUUUUGGUUCACCACCUCUUGAGCCACUCUCCAGGGAUCUUGGAUCUGGGGCUAAAAAAAAGUUAAUGAAGACAGGCUUGCACUUACAUUUCAGCUUUAAACCUUUGAGAUUUGUUCUUCUGAGUCUCAAGAGCAGUUUGAAGACAGAAAGUGAGCUGUCACACUCCACAGUACCAGCACCCUUCAUAUAUAUUGGAAACCGUCUUGAGUGAUUAAUUUCAAGCACCUUGGAUCAGCGAGAUGCCACAAGGCAAUAUGAAUUAGCAACUGUGGCCUUAUUUAACACCACCUUCAACCAAGGACUUAACUGCCUCUUAAACAAGACCCCUGCCAAAUCUUCAUGUGGAUUCUACACAAAAGGACCUAAACUGAAGGGAGAAAAUAUCAGCUCUUGAAAAUUAUACCCAGAGGUGAAACAUGGUACUUCCCUCAUAUUCCAUACAUAAAGCAAUUCAUAUGGUCAAGCGUUUUGUUCUUUCAGAUAGAAUCUAAAAUUCUCUCCUGGGUGUGUGGGGGGGAAUAAGUAAAAAUGAUAAUACUGUCUACUGUGAAAUUAUAAAAUAGAAUUUUCAGGUAACAAACUAAACAAAAUGCAGCUUUUUUCGUGCAGUUUUUAGAAUGUGCUUUAAUAGUAUUUCUUCCUAAUUUUGUUGGUUAAAUACUUCUUUUUGAUUUUAUAAGAGUUCAGAAAAAAAUAAAACAAAUCUCAUGCCAUUUGGGACACACAGAAUACACACAUUCCAUAUGGCACCACCAUUACUGUUUGAUGUUUAUUGUAUUUGGGGCAUUACUGAUUGACAUGAGGCAUACUGUAUGCACAUGAAAAUUGUGAGUUUAUUUGCAGAAGAUAUAAGAUGUUUCCCAUUGAUGUCCUAUUAUUAUUUCUCCAAAUCAGUAAGGAUGAGUUUUAAUCUUACUUUAUAAAUAAACUGAAA